CGCCUAAACUCUAAAUAAUUUUUAGGGCAUGGCAGAAAAUCCCUUGCAGCAACGAGAGCUCCUCGUUCAGUACCUGCAAGGGUCAUAUGCCGAAAGGUGUAUGGGCGCAAGCC
rnacentral:sRNA from 12 species